GCGAUCUGAACCUUUGGUACCUACAAAGAGGGUGUCUCACCGAAAGAUAGCUAAAACCUCUCCAGAACGGCGCACGGAACUGUGGAGACACAGCGGAAGGAAGGCUCCUCUGGAGCCUCAUAUCUGGGCCGAACCCUAGACCCAGCGCUUCAAGGAGCCCCUCGCUUGGAUCACAGGAGAUGAAAUUUUGUUCUUCAGUGCUAAUCUUUCUGUAGAUGUAUUAUGACAUCACCUGUCCACUUGAACAGAUAAGGGGAAGGACCCUGGAUGACUCUGACUGUGAAUUUCUUGAUGGGCAGAAUGAUGGGCAACUCCAAAGCUGAGACUCCAGCUCAGUG
rnacentral:lncRNA from 1 species